ensembl:lncRNA
ACUCCCUGAAAAGAAACGUCGGAACUGUGUUCUGAAAGUACUUUUCAGAGCCCUGUCGUAUUGGAAAAGUUAAGAGCCUCACAGUUCUGAAGGAAACAGAAAAUGACUGUGGGAAUCUCUCUCCCUUUCCCUGCUUCGCGAUAAUGGUUGUUCUUUCAAGUCACUCUCAAAACUGAGAAAUGAAACUUAAAAUGUUUUUAAAAGUUUCUCUAUUGUUUCUCAUUUUCUGGUUUUCUCCUGAGGUAGAAAGAGGACAACUCUUGUAAAUAAUGAAGUGAUUUUCUUGCGCAGAAAAUAGCAAAAUUGAGAAAAUCCAGUGUACUCUUGGCAAAACGUCUGUGGCUUUUUUCCUACAGGAUUCCCCCUCUCUACUUUGCAGAGAUCUUCAUUUUCUCUACCUCUGGCUGAAAGGCAUGUGUAAGGUAGAAUGUGUGUAUUGCUUACAUUUUUAUUCUUUUUUUCUCAUCCGAGGCUGACAAUUGACAGACAGAGAUGGCAAGCAGUGAUCUCAGUAUUUGAGAAUGAUUUAUAUGUCUUAUUCUCUGCCCAGUGUGAAACAAAACUUGAAACAUUUAAUUCCCUUGUGCAAUCUUUUCUUUGUGUCUGUUGCCUCUGAAAGGAAUCCUUAAGUCCCUUUCCGCUUUAGCUUAGCCCCAGGCUGCAAAGAGAGCAGAGGAAGCCAAGAAAAAGGAAAGGACAACAGACAGAGAGAGGGGCACAGGGCUGGUGGUCAGUCCCUCACUCACUGACCCAAAGCCACACUCAGCAGCAGCUGUACCAGCUCUAAAAAGAAGGAAGACUUGUAAUCCAGUGUGAGAGGUCACAGCAGAAGACACAAGAAUAAUCCAAGGACAGAUUCUGGAGCGAUAGAUGGAGAAAGCUAGGCUGGUCAGCCGAAAAGGCUAGAGAGGGCACUGCACAGAUAAAACCUUCAUGAGGACGGGCAGAGGGGGAAAGGCGGCCAGCUGGUCAUCAAGCCUUCAGAAGACAGCCUUGCCGGCCAAGGUUGCGCCGGGAAAGCCACUUUCCUUUCCCUUUGCACCUUACACACGGGUAGGAUUGUACGCCCCCUUGCUUAGGAUAUGCAUGCCCAUGUCUCCUGG